rnacentral:rRNA from 1 species
CCCUUAGAUGUUCUGGGCCGCACGCGCGCUACAAUGAUGAAUUCAACGAGUUUAUAACCUUGGUUGAAAAGCCUGGGUAAUCUUUUGAACUUUCGUCGUGAUGGAGCUAGACCCUUGCAAUUAUUGGUCUCCAACGAGGAAUUCCUAGUAAACGCAAGUCAUCAGCUUGCAUUGAUUACGUCCCUGCCCUUUGUACACACCGCCCGUCGCACCUACCGAUUGAAUGGUCCGGUGAAAUCUUCGGAUUGAGACUUUGAUUUCUUCACGGAAAACGCUGUUUUAAGAAGUUGAUUAAACCUUACCAUUUAGAGGAAGGUGAAGUCGUAACA